UUGACAAGGAAAGGCCAUGUUAUGUUCACCCUGGGUUAAGUUUUAAGUGUAUCUUAUUUAAUUUUUUUCAAUAUGAGUCAUCUCCAGAUACUGUGAUGAUUUCCAAAUAACCAGAAUCUAGAUGACUAGAAAUUUACUCUAGCUGGCUUUAGACAGGAAGCGUGAGGACAGAAUCCAGCUGCUUCCACUCCAGGGUAGGUCUGAAGCCAACCGUCCUCGGUUUCCUGGCCUGUGGCAUCAGUCUGGUUGGAUUACACACAAAGCCCUGCAGAUCUGCUGCUUUUCCUGAUUCUCCUGUCCUGAGUGAGUGCAAGGGGCUCCCCUGUCGCCGAUGUGUUCUUUGAAGCAGAUGCUGUGCCUGAUACCUGCUGGAGAGUCCCACCGCCUUGAGCUUCUGGGUCGAGAAAGGCCAAGUUGCACACUACUGAGAGACUGCCAUGCACCCCCUGGAGGCCUCAGAACAUUCGACAUGCUCCAGUCAUGGCCACGGCAGUGACUGCUGAUUGCCUAACCCCACAUGUGUUCUCCCCCUUCCCUGAUAAUCAAGCCCCUGAUUUUCAGCUGGGCACAAAAUAAUUCUUCCUAGGACAACUCCACGUGUGUUAUCGCCCUUGCAGCUGGGGGUGGCCACCACUGGGGAGAGGCAGGGUGAAGAGGUGGAAGGAGCCUGAGUUAGCAGGGAUGAGCAGUGGCCAGGUAACCCCAGACCCAUUAUCCUCUGGAUUUCUUUUAUGUGAAACAAUAAAAUGUCUUGUAU
rnacentral:lncRNA from 1 species